ensembl:lncRNA
CUAUAAUUUCAAUUUUUCUUGAUGCAUAAAGUUAAAAGAUUAAAACUAAUAAAACAAGUUUGAAAAAGAGACUUUUUUCAUCAUACUGGUUCGUGUAAUUUGAAAGAAUCUUAGUUUUCAUUUUGUUCAAAUUUAAAGAGGUUCUGGAAUUUGGGUUGCAUAUCUGUUGUGUUAUAUACAAUUCCCAAUGACAAAACCUUUUCAUACUUGUGUUUUUUAGUAAAUGUGUAGUCCAGAUUUGUAAGUAUUGAGGAACGUACAAUUAUCCUAUAUAAGCCACUUAAGGACAGCUACUCAUCUCUAUUUUUUAUGAUGUAGAAACCUUCUGAUAUUUAUAAUUAACUUACAUGAACAAACAUAUCUGUUUAUGAAUAACAGGUACGCGGAGGUUUCUGAACAUAUUGUUGUAAUAAGACAAAAGUAUGCAUUAUCCACUGUUCUUCAGGAGUCAGUACUCAAAGUACAUCCAGUUCAGAACAGACUGUCCCAACUGCAGAAGAAGCAACUGUACAAGAGAAGGGAGCAAAUAAUGAAAAUACACCCAGCUCAGAGCAGACUACCAAACCAGCAGAAAAGGCACUUGUGCAAGAAAAGGGAGUCAGUAAUCAAAGUACAUCCAGCUCAGAACAGACUGUCCUACCUGCAGAAGAAGCAGCUGUACAAGAAAAGGGAGCCAGGAAUCACAGUACAUCCAUCUCAGAGCAGACUGACCGGCCAAGAGGAAAAGGACCUGGAAGAAACAAGGGUGUGCUUCAGAAAACUACAUCUAAUUCUGAAAUUGAGAGGGGCAGUGAUGCAAAGGAAGACAUCAUAUUUAACAUCAUUCUGCUGGGACAAACUGGGACUGGGAAGAGUGCGACUGCAAACACCAUCCUGGCUGCUGGGAAGCACCACAAGGACAAAGGCCAGGGUUUUGAAGCCAAGCCAAGCUCCAUACCAAUCACCACCAAGUGUAAGGACAAAAUAAUCGAGAUAUGUGGAACAAAAGUUAGACUGGUCGACACCCCAGACUUCUUUUAUGAAGAUAAACCUAUAGAGGAGGCACAAGUAGAAGAGUGUAAGAGGUACUGUCAGGAAGGGCAGUGUGUAGUGUUACUUGUGAUACAGUUGGGCAGGUUCACAGAUGGUGAAAUAGGAAUAUUAGAGAAACUGGAAGACAAGCUUGGCUGGAAAAUCAGGAAAAACACAAUUGUCCUAUUUACACAUGGAGAUGAUUUGAAAGGCACAGUGGAUCAGUUUAUCGGCAACAGGAGUUGUCUCAAGCACAUUGUGAAAUCUUGUAACAAUCGUUACCAUGUAUUCAAUAACAACUCCAAGGAUACUAAACAAGUCAGGGAGCUCUUUGAUAAAUUUCGUGAAGAAAGCUUUUUAAACUCAAAACCACAUUCACAGUGCCCUUUAUUCUAGCUACUGCUGAUUCAGGGGUGUGAAGUGCAAUUUUCUGCUGGCAUGUGAACUAAUUUUACAUUAAACCUAGAUAUCAUGAUUUGCCAUUUUGUUUCAUCUUGAAUAUUUAGCCAAACUGAAAGGACAUUAGUAAACAAUUUAUAAUUUUUCAUCAGACUGCCAAAGUUGGUGAUACAACCUCUAGCUCUUAUGUAUGUAUAUGAAAUAGUGCAGUCAGUUAUAAAGACUAACUUUAAAAGACUUAGAAACAUGCUGAGGAGAGCUUGCUGUGAAAUUAAAGUGGUUCCUAAGCAACAUACAGAUUAAAUGUUUAUGAAUAAAUUGAAUACAUUUUUGAUUUUAUUUACUUAUUUUUUUCUGUGACUGAUGUUUGGACAACACAAAAGACUUCAAACAGGAAAUGCAGUGAAAAAUAAAUUAUACAACACACUCACAUAGCCUUAACACAUGUUAAAGCUAUAAUAUAUUCUACUUAUUCCAUUACUGGCUCAUUAGUGUGUUCUCGAGUUUUUGCUGAAAUGCGCAUUGGGGAAGUGAAAACAAACUGAAAAAAUAGAAGCUUCAAACUUCUACUUUCCACUGUAUCAUCAUAUGAAAAGUUGCAGCUUUUUAUGUUUGGAGCCUGAUAAUUCAAAUUUCAUUAGAUCUGACUGUUAUCCCUUCCAUAUGGCGUGUAUUUAUAUAGCGCUUUUCUAGUCCCUAAGGACCCCAAAGCACUUUACAUAUCCAGUCAUCCACCCAUUCACACACACAUUCACACACUGGUGAUGGCAAGCUACAUUGUAGCCACAGCCACCCUGGGGCGCACUGACAGAGGCGAGGCUGCCGGACACUGGCGCCACCGAGCCCACUGACAACCAACCAGUAGGCAACGGGUGAAGUGUCUUGCCCAAGGACACAACGACCGAGACUGUCCAAGCUGGGGCUCGAACCGGCAACCUUCCAAUUACAAGGCGAACUCCCAACUCUUGAGCCACGAUCACCCCAAUAUCACAUCUACCUCAGUGCUUUUUCUCUAGCUCAGUGAAUUCCUCUCUAGUCCCUAAAUGGAUCUUUCAGGCCAAAGCCGCCUUCUAAAAAUGCAUGGGCAUCUGGUAUUCUAAUGAUAGCUUGUUUUACAAAACAAUAAAUGUACCAAUAGCAUACAGAAUAAAUAGGCUAAACACAAAUAAAAGUUAUUAUUCAGAGGACAAAGGUGACACGUGGCCGUUUGUAAUUUGCAGGUGUUUGUCAAUUUAAACAUACAUUCAGUUUCUCCUCUGAAUGUGCAAUGAAUGUAAUAUUGUAGAAAAAAAGUCAUCAAUAUAUACAUUAUCAUUUGGCAUUAAUUUUCUCACUGUUCUUUUUUUUUCUUGUUUCUGUGCAAUAAACUGCCACUGCUACCUGUACUCUUGCUCAUGAACACAUUCAUUUAUGAUUACUACUACCAUCAGUGAAAAGGUACUGUUAACCGUACUGCUUUAUUUUGCAAUGGACAUGUAACUGUGUAUGAAUAUUUUGCUAAAACUGUCAGAAGGAGUGCCUGAACUAGAAAAAAGAAUGUUUGCAAAAGUUAAUCAAACAUCACAUCAUCAGCUAGCUAUAAAAUAAUAGACCAUUAUUAGCCAACACUUUAAAGUCUUUGUUAUAUUUGUCAGAAAGCAAUGGUUGAAAUUAUGUUUUUUUACCUAAUAAAAAAUGUUGCAUAAACAGCU